rnacentral:rRNA from 1 species
UUUUGGACAAUGGGCGCAAGCCUGAUCCAGCCAUGCCGCGUGAGUGAAGAAGGCCUUCGGGUUGUAAAGCUCUUUCGGUCGGCAAGAAAUCGCGCCGGCUAAUACCCUGCUCGCAUGACGGUACCGUCCUAAGAAGCACCGGCUAACUACGUGCCAGCAGCCGCGGUAAUACGUAGGGUGCGAGCGUUGACCGGAAUUACUGGGCGUAAAGCGGGCGCGGGCGGGUGAUUAGGACAGGCGUGAAAUCCCCGGGGUUAGCCUGGGAACUGCGCUUGUGACUGGUCAGCUAGAGUACGGCAGAGGGGGGUGGAAUUCCACGUGUAGCAGUGAAAUGCGUAGAGAUGUGGAGGAACACCGAUGGCGAAGGCGGGCCGGUGGGCCGGUAGUGAGGCUCAGGCACGGAAGGGUGGGUAGCAAACAGG